GAUGAACGCUGGCGGCGUGCCUAACACAUGCAAGUCGAGCGAUUCUCUUCGGAGAAGAGCGGCGGACGGGUGAGUAACGCGUGGGUAACCUGCCCUGUACACACGGAUAACAUACCGAAAGGUAUGCUAAUACGGGAUAACAUAAGAAAUUCGCAUGUUUUUCUUAUCAAAGCUCCGGCGGUACAGGAUGGACCCGCGUCUGAUUAGCUAGUUGGUGAGGUAACGGCUCACCAAGGCAACGAUCAGUAGCCGACCUGAGAGGGUGAUCGGCCACAUUGGAACUGAGACACGGUCCAAACUCCUACGGGAGGCAGCAGUGGGGAAUAUUGCACAAUGGGCGAAAGCCUGAUGCAGCAACGCCGCGUGAGCGAUGAAGGCCUUCGGGUCGUAAAGCUCUGUCCUCAAGGAAGAUAAUGACGGUACUUGAGGAGGAAGCCCCGGGCUAACUACGUG
rnacentral:rRNA from 1 species